rnacentral:rRNA from 1 species
GUUUGAUCCUGGCUCAGAUUGAACGCUGGCGGCAUGCCUUACACAUGCAAGUCGAACGGUAACGCGGGGCAACCUGGCGACGAGUGGCGAACGGGUGAGUAACGCAUCGGAACGUGCCCAGUAGUGGGGGAUAGCCCGGCGAAAGCCGGAUUAAUACCGCAUACGACCUAAGGGUGAAAGCGGGGGAUCGCAAGACCUUGCGCUAUUGGAGCGGCCGAUGUCAGAUUAGGUAGUUGGUGGGGUAAAGGCCUACCAAGCCUGCGAUCUGUAGCUGGUCUGAGAGGGCGACCAGCCACACUGGGACUGAGACACGGCCCAGACUCCUACGGGAGGCAGCAGUGGGGAAUUUUGGACAAUGGGGGAAACCCUGAUCCAGCCAUGCCGCGUGCGGGAAGAAGGCCU